UGGUGGAGUGAUUUGUCUGGUUAAUUCCGUUAACGAACGAGACCUCAGCUUGCUAAUCAGUUGCAUGAUUUUCGAAUUGUGUUACUUCUUAGAGGGACUAUCAGUUUCUAGCUGAUGGAAGUUGGAGGCAAUAACA
rnacentral:rRNA from 1 species